rnacentral:rRNA from 1 species
CAGCAGCCGCGGGAAUACGGAGGGGGCUAGCGUUGUUCGGAAUUACUGGGCGUAAAGCGCACGUAGGCGGCUUGGUAAGUUAGAGGUGAAAGCCCGGAGCUCAACUCCGGAAUUGCCUUUAAGACUGCCGAGCUAGUAGGUGAGAGAGGUAAGUGGAAUUCCGAGUGUAGAGGUGAAAUUCGUAGAUAUUCGGAAGAACACCAGUGGCGAAGGCGGCUUACUGGCCCAUUCUAGACGCUGAGGUGCGAAAGCGUGGGGAGCAAACAGGAUUAGAUACCCGCGUAGUCCCUGUCUCUUAUAC